GAAGGGAGAGCAUCCCUUGGACUGAAGGUGCUUCCCAAGAGGGGAUGCUGUGUGGCCAAGGAGCCUCUUCACCAGUUGGGACUGCCUCAAGGAUCUGACAGGAGGAAUUGAGUAUGCUGCCAAGAUAUUAAAUGAAAUUCCCCAGAAAGACAUUCAGUGCACUAAAAGAGCCUCAAAGGCAGAAAGGGAAGGAAAUGGGCAAGUGAUACCCACAGAGGCUCCACCUGAUGGGGAUCCAAUUGCAGUGAGAAGCAGAGCCACUGAUGCAGGGUAUGUUGAUGAUAACUGCACACCUUGGCCAGCUUUCCCACCACCUCCUGUGUGCUAAGGCAGCAUCACUGGCAG